rnacentral:rRNA from 1 species
GACAGAGGGUGCAAACGUUGCUCGGAAUCACUGGGCGUAAAGAGCCCGUAGGUGGUUCGGUAAGUCGGAUGUGAAAUCUCCAGGCUCAACCUGGAGGGGUCAUUCGAUACUGCCGUGACUAGAGGUCGGUAGGGGAGUGUGGAAUUCCUGGUGGAGCGGUGAAAUGCGCAGAUAUCAGGAGGAACACCCGUAGCGAAGGCGGCACUCUGGGCCGAUACUGACACUGAGGAGCGAAAGCGUGGGGAGCGAACAGG